ACGAGAGGACAUGGGAAGCUUGCUUCCUAUGAAAUCGAGUGGCAAACGGGUGAGUAACGCGUAAACAACCUGCCCUUCGGAUGGGGAUAACAGCCGGAAACGGCUGCUAAUACCGAAUACGAUCUUUUCGUCGCAUGACGGAAAGAAGAAAGGAUGGCCUCUAUACAAAGCUAUCGCCGAAGGAGGGGUUUGCGUCUGAUUAGCUGGUUGGAGGGGUAACGGCCCAACAAGGCGAUGAUCAGUAGCCGGUCUGAGAGGAUGAACGGCCACAUUGGGACUGAGACACGGCCCAGACUCCUACGGGAGGCAGCAGUGGGGAAUCUUCCGCAAUGGACGAAAGUCUGACGGAGCAACGCCGCGUGAGUGAAGAAGGUCUUCGGAUUGUAAAGCUCUGUUAUACGGGACGAAAAAGACGGAUGCCAACAGUAUCCGUCCGUGACGGUACCGUAAGAGAAAGCCACGGCUAACUACGUGCCAGCAGCCGCGGUAAUACGUAGGUGGCAAGCGUUGUCCGGAAUUAUUGGGCGUAAAGGGCGCGCAGGCGGUUCGGUAAGUCUGUCUUAAAAAUGCGGGGCUUAACCCCGUGAGGGGACGGAAACUGUCGAACUUGAGUGUCGGAGAGGAAAGCGGAAUUCCUAGUGUAGCGGUGAAAUGCGUAGAUAUUAGGAGGAACACCGGUGGCGAAAGCGGCUUUCUGGACGACAACUGACGCUGAGGCGCGAAAGCGUGGGGAGCAAACAGGAUUAGAUACC
rnacentral:rRNA from 1 species